GUCUAUGGCCAUACCACCCUGAACGCACCCGAUCUCGUCUGAUCUUGGAAGCUAAGCAGGGUCGGGUCUGGUUAGUACUUGGAUGGGAGACCUAGUGCCUAUUCUAACCGGAAGUUAGAAU
ensembl:rRNA 5S_rRNA 5S ribosomal RNA